rnacentral:lncRNA from 1 species
AUUUACAGAAAGAUAAAGCACACCUGAAAAAUGCCCUCAUAAGACCAACUAAAUGAUCAAUAAAGUAAAUUAGUAUUUUAAGACUAAUGACUUCUUCACCGCAAGACAAUGGCUAAAAGAACAUAGGUUCAAAAUGUAUAGAGAAAUGCUUCCUCCACCACGAGUCAGCCUCCUCAUUUUCUGCAGCAUUUUCCAUCUGUGUCAUUGGCGUAGUACACACGUGCCUGACCUAGAUGUUUACUGGCAUUUGCAGCAUCGUGAUUAUCUUCCUCAUCAUUAUCUUUGAAGCCCAACUGAAAUGAUGCCCUGUAACUACGGGUCUGUGAGUUGUUUUGGAACAGGAUGUAUCAGCCUGUCAGCAUUGUUUGAGAGCUCAAGAACUAUUUGCUGACUAGCUAAAGAAUCUUCAGGUUGAAACAGAAUCUUAAAGAUCUGAGGUAAAUGAAUACAGUUAAGUGUAACUGAAGAGGAACCGGUAAGAAAAGCAACAGAACUGAAGAAUAGCAAUUUCCCCGAGAGAGAGAGAGUGAAAGAAAAACUUGUGGUGGAAGCCAGCCAUCAGCAACUCCUAGAGCCAUCCACCUGUUACCCUGGCAUCAGGGAAAGUACAUUAGGUAAUUCAGAUUCUCCUGGGCUCAAAUCCUCGUCUCUGCUGCACAUGACAUCCAAGGCACGUGGUCAGAUUGAUUUUUUACGAUUUCACCAGCAACUGGCGGGCUGCAACAUCACGGAGCUGUUUGAAAUCAUCAUAUGUAAGCUGAUUAUUUGAAGGGAUUUUUCACACACACAUAAUAUUAAAU